rnacentral:rRNA from 1 species
GAUGAACGCUGGCGGCGUGCCUAAUACAUGCAAGUCGAGCGAACAGACGAGGAGCUUGCUCCUCUGACGUUAGCGGCGGACGGGUGAGUAACACGUGGAUAACCUACCUAUAAGACUGGGAUAACUUCGGGAAACCGGAGCUAAUACCGGAUAAUAUAUUGAACCGCAUGGUUCAAUAGUGAAAGACGGUUUUGCUGUCACUUAUAGAUGGAUCCGCGCCGCAUUAGCUAGUUGGUAAGGUAACGGCUUACCAAGGCAACGAUGCGUAGCCGACCUGAGAGGGUGAUCGGCCACACUGGAACUGAGACACGGUCCAGACUCCUACGGGGGGCAGCAGUAGGGAAUCUUCCGCAAUGGGCGAAAGCUUGACGGAGCAACGCCGCGUGAGUGAUGAAGGUCUUCGGAUCGUAAAACUCUGUUAUUAGGGAAGAACAAAUGUGUAAGUAACUAUGCACGUCUUGACGGUACCUAAUCAGAAAGCCACGGCUAACUACGU